UUGUGAGUUCAAAAUGGUAUGACUUCUAAAUUUACGCAUUGUUUUUUGUAUAUCCAGAUAUCUUAAGGAGUACAGAUUCGAUAUUUCAAAGUUGGAGCCCUUAGUGGCUAAGCCUCAUUCUCCUGAUAAUCGUGCUUUGGCAAGAGAAUGCAAAGAUGUCAAAAUCGACAGAGUAUAUAUUGGAUCUUGUACUGGUGGAAAAACGGAGGACUUUAUGGCUGCUGCAAAAGUUUUUCUAGCUUCGGGUAAGAAGGUAAAGGUUCCAACUUUCCUUGUUCCUGCUACGCAAAAGGUAUGGAUGGAUGUAUAUAGCCUCCCAGUUCCAGGAU